rnacentral:lncRNA from 1 species
UGUUUUAUGUCUGUACUCAGAUAUUUGUUGCUUCCGCUGACUCGUGUGUUUAUCGAGCUUUCGUAUUCUAGCCCUCGAGGCCCCUGGCUUGUAAUAUGAAGCUGAUGUUAUUUUAUUUGUGUCUAGAGUUGUGUUGUGAUAUCUCCCCGUGAGUCCUUGGGUUUGAUCGUACGCAUUUGCGUGUAUGAUUAGCGUACGAUUAAGCCGAGGGCGUCACAUUCCCCCUCUUCUUACCGGUAAACCCCGAGACUAACGCUGCUGCCUGGUACAUCUACGACAAUGCCGAUCAGUCCUUUCCCGCAGAGCAGCAAGGCAAGCAAACCC